rnacentral:rRNA from 1 species
AGCAAGGGGGCUGCCUAUACAUGCAGUCGACGAGAUCUUCGGAUCUACCGUGGCGGGGUGGGUGCGCGUGGAAUCUGCCCUUGAGUUCGGAAUGACUUGUGGAAUCGGACGCUAAACCGGAUAGGAUGACCUACGUACACUCGAUUUAUCGACCGGGGAUGAUCCCGCGUCCUAUUACUUCGUUGGCGGGGUAAUGGGCCCUCCAUAGGCGGGAACGAUCCCUUAAACUGGUUCCUGAAAGGAUUGAUAUCCCACACCCUGGGAUCCUGAAAGGACGACCCACACUCCUGUACGGGUAGGCCAACCCGUACGGCAAUACUUGAACGAAUGGGAGGCAAUGCUUGAUCUUUGGAUGCCGUCCGUGAGUGACUAAUGCCUUAAGGUGUGUAAGUGAUCUUUUACCCCUUGAAUGAUUGUGACCGCUAUUUUGUAGCAAUAAACUCCAGGCUAACUGCCUUGCCCCGCAUGCAGCGAUGAUACUGACGGGAGUCAAUCGUUGUUCGCAAAUUACUGUGCGUACAGCCUCACGUAAGCGGCUAUUCGCUGUCCGAUGUGAAAAACUGGUGCUCAUCCCCUGGAACUGCCAUUUGAUCCUUGAUACCUAUAAUCCAUGAGAGGUGAGUGGAAUUCCAAUUGUUUAGUUGCUGUUCGUAUAUAUUCUGAAGAACGCCGGUAGAAAUCGCGGCUCACUGGACUGAUGUUGACACUUGUGUACGAAUACCGUGUGGAGCAAGCAGGACCAUGUACCAAGGCUGACCCUCCCGCACACGAUCAUGACUAUGCUGUCAGGAUUCAAUAUGCUGUUGGUGCCACAGCUUACGCGAUGUCUUAUCCGCCUGGGGGAGUACGAGUCGCUAGAUUAAAACUCUAACGCAUUUGACUGGACCCCUGCGCAGACGACGGUCGCAUGUAUUUUUAACUCAAAGGAAAUGCACAGAAACUUACCAACGCUUUGACAUGACUAUCAUUGAUCGUGUAGACACUUUCCUAUCAUUUCGGCUGGAUGAGUGACAUGGUACUCCUGCGGCUGUCGUGGGCUCGUGUCAAGAGAUGCUAUGUUACAGUCCGCUGACUGAGCUGCACCCAUCUCGUGUCGUGACAUGCAUUUCGAGUUAGGUUACUCUAAAGCAACCACCAUUGUAUCAUACCUGGACUGACAGGAUGGAGCAUGUACUAUUCGAAGAUCUGCCAUUGUGCACUUACCCGAUGAGCUCCCCACUAGCGCGCAGGUGGACUUCAAUGGGCGUACAUGACACGCGGUGUAUAGGCUACGUCGUGUGCAAAGGUGACAUAUAUUGUCUCAGGAUCCGUACUGCGUUGUUCUGAUACCGUCUCUAGCGUGUAGGCGGGAGCUCUUCUAUCACCGCGUGAACAGCAUGCCGCGGUGAAUACGUUCCCAGGCCUUGUACACACCGCCCGUCACACCAUGGGAGUGGGAUUCACCAGAAGUGGCUGAUCUAACCGCAAGGAGGCACGUCGACCACAGUGAUUCGAGUGG